AGUCGAGGGGUAACAGGGAGUGCUUGCACUCUGCUGACGACCGGCGCACGGGUGCGUAACGCGUAUGCAACCUACCUUCUACAGGGGGAUAGUCCAGAGAAAUUUGGCAUAAUACCCCAUACGAUCAUUUAUUGGCAUCGAUAGAUGAGGAAAACUCCGGUGGUAGAAGAUGGGCAUGCGUCCUAUUAGUUAGUUGGUAAGGUAACGGCUUACCAAGACAUCGAUAGGUAGGGGUCCUGAGAGGGAGAUCCCCCACACUGGUACUGAGACACGGACCAGACUCCUACGGGAGGCAGCAGUGAGGAAUAUUGGACAAUGGAGGCAACUCUGAUCCAGCCAUGCCGCGUGCAGGAAGACGGCCCUAUGGGUUGUAAACUGCUUUUAUACAGGAAGAAACGCCGCUACGUGUAGCGGUUUGACGGUACUGUACGAAUAAGGAUCGGCUAACUCCGUGCCAGCAGCCGCGGUAAU
rnacentral:rRNA from 1 species